rnacentral:rRNA from 1 species
UACGUAGGUGACCAGCGUUGUCCGGAUUUACUGGGCGUAAAGCGCGCGUAGGCGGAUCGCUAAGUCAGGGGUGAAAUCCCAGGGCUCAACCCUGGAACUGCCUUUGAUACUGACGAUCUGGAGAUCGGGAGAGGUUGGUGGAAUUCCGAGUGUAGAGGUGAAAUUCGUAGAUAUUCGGAGGAACACCAGAAGCGAAGGCGGCCAACUGGCCCGAUACUGACGCUGAGGCGCGAAAGCGUGGGGAGCAAACAGG